GGAUGGCAUUAUCCCAAAGCUUCAACGUGCUGAUUACUACACCGUUCCUUCUAUGGAGGAGUUGCUAUCCAAGGAGAAGGAAGAAGCUGAUUUUUGUUGCCACGUGAAGGACUUUGUGAUAGGAAGACAUGGGUAUGGAAGCAUCAAGUUCUUGGGAGAAACAGAUGUCCGGAAGUUUGACCUUGAUUCUGCUAUCCAGUUCAAU
rnacentral:misc_RNA from 1 species